UGUGAGGGAGGAGCUGGCGCUUUAUGGGAAGCAGCUGGAGGAGUCACCUUCCAACAACCAGAUGCAGCUGCUGCUGGUGAAGCGGGCGUCAGGCCUGCCACUCUACCUGCGCCUGGUCACCGAUCACCUGAGGCUCUUCACACUCUGUGAGCAGGUGUCUGAGAGACUUCGCGCCCUGCCUGCCACCGUGCCCCUGCUGCUGGAGCACACCCUGAGCACCCUGGAGCAGGAGCACGGCCACAACGUCCUUCCACAAGCCCUGGCCACCCUGGAAGUCAC
rnacentral:lncRNA from 1 species